rnacentral:rRNA from 1 species
GGAUGACCGCUGGCGGCGUGCCUAAUACAUGCAAGUCGAGCGAACAGACGAGGAGCUUGCUCCUCUGACGUUAGCGGCGGACGGGUGAGUAACACGUGGAUAACCUACCUAUAAGACUGGGAUAACUUCGGGAAACCGGAGCUAAUACCGGAUAAUAUAUUGAACCGCAUGGUUCAAUAGUGAAAGACGGUUUUGCUGUCACUUAUAGAUGGAUCCGCGCCGCAUUAGCUAGUUGGUAAGGUAACGGCUUACCAAGGCAACGAUGCGUAGCCGACCUGAGAGGGUGAUCGGCCACACUGGAACUGAGACACGGUCCAGACUCCUACGGGAGGCAGCAGUAGGGAAUCUUCCGCAAUGGGCGAAAGCCUGACGGAGCAACGCCGCGUGAGUGAUGAAGGUCUUCGGAUCGUAAAACUCUGUUAUUAGGGAAGAACAAAUGUGUAAGUAACUAUGCACGUCUUGACGGUACCUAAUCAGAAAGCCACGGCUAACUACGUG